GGCAGUUGUCGGGUGACACACCCCAGAAUCGGGCUCUCUCCUCUCUGGUUCUGGGUGCACCACCUGAGAACCACA
rfam:Myotis davidii contig77961, whole genome shotgun sequence.